UACGUAGGGUGCGAGCGUUGUCCGGAAUUAUUGGGCGUAAAGGGCUCGUAGGCGGUUUGUCGCGUCGGGAGUGAAAUCCACUGGCUUAACUGGUGGCUUGCUUUCGAUACGGGCAGACUGGAGGUAUGCAGGGGAGGACGGAAUUCCUGGUGUAGCGGUGAAAUGCGCAGAUAUCAGGAGGAACACCGGUGGCGAAGGCGGUUCUCUGGGCCGAUACUGACGCUGAGGAGCGAAAGCGUGGGGAGCGAACAGG
rnacentral:rRNA from 1 species